ensembl:lncRNA MMADHC-DT MMADHC divergent transcript
ACAACAGACAACUGAGGUAACGUCCACUCUUCGAAGGUGUGUCGUCCACCACGUCAGGACCAAAGUCCAAGCUCUCCCCGUACCCUAAGGAGGCCAGAACUCGCCCCCAUGCCAGGCACAGAUCCCCCAGCCCGGAGCCGGCAGUGCAGCUCAGAGCCCUUCCGGUUUACAGCCGCGGAAAAACAACUCGGACCAGAUCCGGGAGGGGAAUGGGGGCUGGGUGGCCAAAAUUCAGUCCAGAGGAUCGAAGCGGCUGCUUUAACAGAAGUUGGGGCUGCGUAACAACAGCUCCAAGCAAAGCUUCAGGCUGAUCGGAAAGAUGAGGAAGCAGAAAAGAGACUAAAGACAGACGGACAGGAUGGCUGGGGACAACGACAGGGACCCAGUGAAAAUACGGGCAAUACCGAGGGCUGUAACCCUAACACGGGCAAAUUUGGAGGGGCUAACAUGGGCGGAAACCAUCCGUACCAGUCACCACCACUGUCUCCAGCUGUCCCAGAACCGGACUCUUCCUGCCAUCAAAAUGGCGGCGGCGACGGCAGCGGUGGUAGCACCUACGCUGGCGGUGAGCAGGCAAAGGAAGUUGCUUCCGAGCGCGUCGAAACGAUGAUGCGCACGCGCAAAGUAGGCCUACGUGGAGCCGACCUGCCAUUGGGGAACCUGAUGGAAUAAACUGCUGUGAGAGGGAGUAUUGAAAAUACUUCUCCCCUGGACCUUGUUCCCAGGCUCCGUGUGAAGCUGAACACUCCGCAUGAUCUCCCUGCCACCAUAGCAAGCUAUGAAGUUCAUUACACAUGCAGGUAGCAGACAAUACAGCUCUGCUUCCAUUUCUGAGCACCUACGGUAGACUGCCAUUAUUCAGUGUGCCAGCCUGUUUCCAAGCCUACAAUGUAUAGUUCCUCUAGUACGUAAACUCAUUUUUUUUCUCAGAGAGCCAAGUAGAGACACAGGCAGUUUUCUUCUCAAAAUGUGCCAGAAAUUCCAAAACAAUCUCAAAGCAUUAAAGGCUAUGUGCACAAAGUACAUGCAGUUGUAGAGUCCCUCUUUUGCAGAAACUUGCACCUCAGCCCACCAGCAUUUCCUUGGUGCUUCUCCUCCUGACCCUCAUCCUCAUGCACAGACCAUUGGAUAUUACUGCACUCACGUACUUGUGUACUUCUUUCUAACAGCUGACUGAAAUCUUUCCUACAUUUUCAGGGUGAUGGGCAGAAAGUUUUUCUCAGGAAACAUUGUAGGGAAGCUGGCAGGGGACAGUUAUAUAUAUGGGGAGGGUCACAUUCUAUUAUUCAUGGGUUUCCGUGGUCACAGGGAGUCAGGGCCAGUUGGAAAUGGAAAGGAAAAAGUUCAUGUUAACACAGCUGAGGGCAAGGCUAUGCCGUAAAGACCUGAGAUGCUCCAGGAAAAGGUUCAGGAUGCUUCCUUUUUGUCUUUCGAUGAAACCAAAAUCUACCAUUUCUGUUUGAGAGUUUUGGGAAAGAGAUGGCAGGUGAGGAGGUUAGGGCAUAGAUGUGUGAAUACUGCCACUAUGAACCCCAAAGCACAUUUGCCAUGAUUGGUCUAAAAAUAAGAUAAUAAUCCAAAUGUAGCUAAAUAUAGUCUACUAUCUAGUUUCUCUCUUUUACGGUCUUUGGCUACCAGUGAUCCUUUUUGCCUAUGCCUUGGGGGACUUGGGAAGGACAAAGAAGAGAAAAGAAUCAGUGUAACAUUUAAACAACAGUGCAACCGUGCUGUGAGAGCCAUCUCAACCUGAUGUCCUAAGUAGCCAGUGUUUCCUUCGCAACACAACAAUGGUAAACAAAGAUGUUUUCUGGAUGGCUGAAGCAAAUGUGAUUUUUAUGCUCAGACCAUCCCUCUGCCCUUAAGCCCCUACCAUGGGUUAAAAAAUUUUUUUUUUCUUUUUUCUUUUUGCUAUGAAUUUUCUACAUGGAAAUAGGUGAAGUGAGACAUUAUUUUCUUCUUCUGUUUAUUUUUUGUUACCCAAUUUCAAAAUGCUGGAAAUUUUGUUGAAACACCACUCACUGCAGAGAAUAUAAGCUUGCAUAAUGAAUUCUAAAAUCCCCCUGUUGUGUGGCAUUGCUAAGAAUGCAUGAGGGGAAAUUCUGUUGUGUGAAAUCCCAGGGUUAUGACAAGUUUGACAAGAUGAGCUUGAUUGACCUUACCACAUGUGGUUACACAGACCAAUCUACCAUCGAGGUUCUCAAAAACAGAUAAGGCACAUGAGGAAUGGCCCUCUUGAGAAGAACGCUGAUUUGUUGUAACCUGAGUAGAAAAAAUUAAUCUGGGAGAUUUUAAAACAUUGUUUAAUGAGUAAAAUAAUGUGAUGUGAAGAAUGAUGGAGGACAGGGAAAUAUUUGGGGUUUUAUAAUUCCUCUCUAAGCCCCACAGUAAAAAUUACAAAUCAUUAUUGUUUAGUAAAAAUCAUAUGCAUUUUAAAAAAAUUCAACUGGGGCAGGAGGAUGGGAAGAAAUAAGUAUAUUCAUUAAAAUGUUUAUUCGUGA